GUUCUUCUGUGAAGUGGCCAUAUUUUAUUUAGUUGCCUUCGUUUUGCUCUUUAGCACUAUGUUGGAACUUGGGCAUUAGGAUAUGGAUAAUAAAAAGCUCAAAUAUUUCACAGGAGGAUGUUGCAAUCUGAAGAAUUGGACAUCUAAAUACUUCCAUGCAGCAUGCGACAAAAAAUGCCUACGAUUUUCAAGAUAGUGGGAAAAUGGCUCCUCGUAAAAACGUAGUAUUCCUGCAAACUGGAGAUUCGAAGCAAGUACUGGAUACAAGAUGCUUGUAUACUAGAAUAUUGAUGCUUUUAUGAUGAAGUAUUCUGCUUGAUCUAUUUACAUUAACAAUGGACUAAAACAAGUAAGACAACUCAAUUUUGGAAUUUUCAUCGGCCCUUAACUCAUUGUCAAAACUUUCGAAGCGUUUAAAAUGGUAGAAAGGGAUCAAAGAACUCACGGAAGGUAUAAAAAAUUUCGGAAAUGACAGCCCAAGGAGAAAUAACUCCAUUGAAGUUAGAAGAGAGGUCAAUAUUCGCUAAGUAGUCGGUAAUCUAAACACUUUGACGGAUUUUCGGAACUUAAAAUUUCAGUUUGAUAAAAAUACUUCGACUUUUUCAACUAUUUGGUAAUUUCAUCUUUCUAAUGAGUACUGACGUGUUUUGUUCAAAGGGUUUCAAUUAAUUU